GACGAACGCUGGCGGCGUGCUUAACACAUGCCAGUCGAACGGAAAGGCCCUGCUUUUGUGGGGUGCUCGAGUGGCGAACGGGUGAGUAACACGUGAGUAACCUGCCCUUGACUUUGGGAUAACUUCAGGAAACUGGGGCUAAUACCGGAUAGGCGCUCCUGCUGCAUGGUGGGGGUUGGAAAGGUUCGGCGGUUGGGGAUGGACUGGCGGCUUAUCAGCUUGUUGGUGGGGUAGUGGCUUACCAAGGCUUUGACGGGUAGCCGGCCUGAGAGGGUGACCGGCCACAUUGGGACUGAGAUACGGCCCAGACUCCUACGGGAGGCAGCGGUGGGGAAUAUUACACAAUGGGCGGAAGCCUGAUGCAGCAACGCCGCGUGCGGGAUGACGGCCUUCGGGUUGUAAACCGCUUUCGCCUGAGACGAAGAGUGAGUGACGGUAAUGGGUAAAGAAGCACCGGCUAACUACGUG
rnacentral:rRNA from 1 species